rnacentral:rRNA from 1 species
GACGAACGCUGGCGGCGUGCUUAAUACAUGCAAGUCAACUGAGCUUAAGAUAGCAAUAUUUUAAGUGCGGUGGCGCACGGGUGAGUAACACGUAGGUAAUCUGCCUUUAGGUCUGACAUAAUCCCGCGAAAGCGGGACUAAAAUCAGAUGAUGCAGCGGCUCGACAUCGAGACAGUUGUUAAACCUUCGGGCCGUAAAGAUGAGCCUGCGUCUGAUUAGGA